ACCCCUAAUUGCCUCCAACCCAUUUCUCAUUGCUGGGCCCCACUUUCCCAUCCCCCCACUCUCCCAGUCCAUCCCCAGGGUGUGAGGUUCCUCAUCUUCAAUCUCUGCUACACCCAAACCUGCCAGGUUCCCCUUUUCAACCACUGUGGGGUCGUCCAACCCGCCGACACCCAUCCACUCUGGGCUCUCUAAAUCCCACAUUCCCACAAUGCUCCUUGGUAACGCCACUCUCCUCUCUCCCUAAUCCCCCUAUUCCCUUCCCUUAGGUCCUCCUGGACACCCCAACCCACAGUCAGGCCUCCACAUACAUCCCAGUCAUUCACAUGCUGAGCUAGUUCUUCAGGGACCCCCACAGCCCAGCAAACUUCUCCUUCCAUGAGCCCCAUGGACCUGUGGCCAGGAAGGGUGAGGUGUGGUUUUGGCCGAAGAUGAGGUGUUUUGGUAGCCCUGUGGAUGCUGUGUGGUGUCUGGAAUGGGGCGUGUGUGUUCCCAUCAUGCCCCUUCCCCUCUGCCUGCAGAGCUGAGGACAGACAGGUCUGAGGAGCAGAGCAGGAGCUCUGGGAAGGAGAAGAGCAAUAUGAAGAUGGAGUGUAAGAUGAGGCCAGCAAGGGAAAAGAAGUCACGGGGACGGAGUCCAGCCCUGAGGUGAGAUGGAAAGGAUCAAGAGCAGUGACAGCAUUGUUGAGGGGUGCAGGGCUCCAGGUAACUGGCAAUAUGGCG